CGCUGAACGCACUGGGAUCUGCACCAAGUUAGGCCUCCAAGUCUACAGACUUCAGUGAGAUACAGCGGGGAACUUUCAGACCAUGGAGAGAAGCAAGUUCUUACUGCUUUUAAGGAGUAGCAGAUUUUUGGAGGCCCUUACCCCACCAUUCCUGAUGUCCUGCUCUGAAUGACUCUGGAUAGACAGACGUCUGUGAACGAAGCAACAGCAUGCGCAAAAGAUGGAGAUAUGAAAGUUCAUAACUUAUUUAAGACUAGCAAGUGACCCUGAGUGACUGGACCAUAUGGAAGAUAGGAAGCUGGAACUUAGAGAAGACGAGUGACUCGCCUAAGGUCACAUAGCCAGUAAGCAGCAGAGCAAGGAUUCAGAUCCAGGACUGUUGGCCACUAGAGUCUGGAGUCUUUCUUUUAUGUUGUCUCCAACCAUCUCUCAGGAGACUCCAAUUCUAGACUGGGUCCCAGUCAGGGGCUCAGAGCUGAAAGCCCCUUUUUCAGACCCUUAUGUACAUACCCUGCGGGAGCAGCAGGUCUGGACCAGGCCAUGGUAGGCAUGGAACUCCAGCAGGAAUGUCAGCGGACUCCUGUACUGCCUGACCCAGGGCAUCCUUUCUCUCUGUCCCAGGCCUGUAGAGCUGGGCUUAUUUUCAGGGCUGGAUGAGUGGAUUUUUCCCAAUGGAGUGUGGAUAGUCCACAGUUGGGCCAAAUGGAGGCCCCUCCCUCCCAUAGGAGAAAAGGGGAAAGGGGGAAGGGGAGCAGAGCAGCCUUCCAGAAGGGAUAGCUUUGCUGAGUUUCAGCCUAAUAUCCUGGAGCUAUUCCUAGGUAGAUUGUGGUCAGUGGAAUUAUGCUUU